rnacentral:rRNA from 1 species
GAGUAUGUGGUUUAAUUUGACUCAACGCGGAAAAGCUUAUCUGGUCCGGACGCAGUGAGGAUUGACAGACAGUUUCAGGAGUGGUUCUUGGUAAACAAUUGAGAGAGUUGAAGUUCUUUCAUGAUCUUGUGAGAGGUGGUGCAUGGCCGUUCUUAGUUCGUGUAGUGAUAUGUCUGCCUAAUCGCGUCACGAUAACCUAUUGGUCGACAACCCAAUUAUCACAACUGCAGCAUAACUCCCCUUGGGUGGGCGAGGCUCUGUGUAGGAUAGACCUCUGAACAGUACGCAACGAACGCGAUCGUAAUCCCUUGUUGAGUGGCCAUCCUGUAAGCUGCUGGAUUAGGAACCCAGUGGUAUUAUCUCAGCCACAGAUUUUCUGGUUGUAAUGGGCCAGUUUUGAAACUCGGGGAACAUCUGUGACUUUCUUUCUUAACGCAGAGGAAGGUUAUGGC